GACGAACGCUGGCGGCGUGCCUAACACAUGCAAGUCGAGCGAUGAAACCCUUCGGGGUGGAUUAGCGGCGGACGGGUGAGUAACACGUGGGUAACCUGCCUCAAAGAGGGGGAUAGCCUCCCGAAAGGGAGAUUAAUACCGCAUAACAUUAGUUUUUCGCAUGAAGGACUAAUUAAAGGAGUAAUCCGCUUUGAGAUGGACCCGCGGCGCAUUAGCUAGUUGGUGAGGUAAAGGCUCACCAAGGCGACGAUGCGUAGCCGACCUGAGAGGGUGAUCGGCCACAUUGGAACUGAGACACGGUCCAGACUCCUACGGGAGGCAGCAGUGGGGAAUAUUGCACAAUGGGCGAAAGCCUGAUGCAGCAACGCCGCGUGAGUGAUGAAGGCCUUCGGGUUGUAAAGCUCUGUCUUUUGGGACGAUAAUGACGGUACCGAAGGAGGAAGCCACGGCUAACUACGUGCCAGCAGCAGCCGCCGUAA
rnacentral:rRNA from 1 species